UUGCUUGCUAUGUAAUGAAAUGGGGUUUAUCUACAACUCAUGUAGGAGAUGAUAUUAGGGUUUUUCUUAAAUCUUCUAAAUGAUACUUUUUUAACUUCUAUCUAUUUAUAUCUAACAUAAGUUCUUCAAUCCUUCCUGUCGGUACCAGGAUUAAUUUCCUUGAUUUUGUGAUCGUUUACUACAUAAUCAUCCACAAGAUUUACUUACCUAUCUUUGAGGUGGCUCACCACUAAAAAAGACCAUGGCAGCUCCAGUAAGUGAGAUAGUAAUCAAGGCUCAACAAGAUCUAUUCCAGCCCACAAAAGCCACCCUUUUUGAAAAUCAAAAGGAUUCUUCCGAUUUGGAAAAUUAAUUUUAUGAAAUGUCAAUAAGUUUGUAACAAAAAAAAAAACAGUAUGUUUUCAGUUACGAGUUAUGACUUAUGACUGAUAAAGUGAUAAUUAAUUAAUUACAAUAGCUAUACAAGUAUUUUUGUCCACUUCUGUUGGUGACACUAUAAAGUGUUGCAAGUAAAAUAGCUAUUGUGAAGCUGAAAAACAUAAACAAACAAGACAACUUAAUCUAUUAAUAAUAAGUUAAUUCAACAAUGUAAUAGUAAAAUAAAAUUAAAAAGUCAUACACCUGAGCAAAAAAGAUUAUUUAUGCCUUCUCAUCAACACUUCAUUCUCCGAUUUGAAUACCAAGAUAUGGAAGAGCUGUAGCCUCUACAAGC